rfam:Erysipelotrichaceae bacterium 3_1_53 genomic scaffold supercont1.37, whole genome shotgun sequence.
UCUGGUGGCGAUAGCGAUGUGGACACACCUGUACUCAUCCCGAACACAGAAGUUAAGCAUAUCAGCGGCGACAAUAUCUGGACGAGCUCCAGUGAAGAUAGCACGCUGCCAGGU